rnacentral:rRNA from 1 species
UGAAGACAAACUACUGCGAAAGCAUUUGCCAAGAAUGUUUUCAUUAAUCAAGAACGAAAGUUAAAGGUUCGAAGGCGAUUAGAUACCGCCCUAGUUUUAACCAUAAACGAUGCCAGCUAGCGAUCUGCGGACGUUUUUUUUGUAGACUCCGCAGGAAGCUUCCGGGAAACCAAAGCAUUUGGGUUCCAGGGGAAGUAUGGUUGCAAAGCUGAAACUUAAAGGAAUUGACGGAAGGGCACCACCAGGAGUGGAGCCUGUGGCUUAAUUUGACUCAACACGGGAAAUCUCACCAGGCCCGGACACUGGAAGGAUUGACAGAUUGAUAGCUCUUUCUUGAUUCGGUGGGUGGUGGUGCAUGGCCGUUCUUAGUUGGUGGAGUGAUUUGUCUGGUUAAUU